GACGAACGCUGGCGGCGUGCUUAACACAUGCAAGUCGAACGGAAAGGCCUGCUUUCCCUUGUGGAUUGCGGGUACUCGAGUGGCGAACGGGUGAGUAACACGUGAGUGAUCUGCCCCCAACUUGGGUAUAAGCCUGGGAAACUGGGUCUAAUUCCCGAUAGGACUGCAGGGUGGUGCCUGUGGUGGAAAACGAUUUUCUAGUGGUUGGGGAUGAGCUCUCGGCCUAUCAGCUUGUUGGUGGGGGAAUGGCCUACCAAGGCGGCGACGGGUAGCCGGCCUGGGAGGGUGGACGGCCGCAUUGGGACUGGGAUACGGCCCCGACUCCUACGGGAGGCAGCAGUGGGGAAUAUUACACAAUGGGCGGAAGCCUGAUGCAGCGACGCCGCGUGGGGGAUGACGGCCUUCGGGUUGUAAGCUCCUUUCGACCGCGAGGAAGCCACCUGGUUGGAAGGGUGGUGACGGUAGUGGUAGAAGAAGCACCGGCUAACUACGUG
rnacentral:rRNA from 1 species